rnacentral:lncRNA from 10 species
AUCAAUGAAAAAAGAGAAGAUACAUGAAACAUACCUUGAGACGAGGUCUCUCUGUCACCCAGGCUAGAGUGCAGUGAUGCAAUCACGACUCCCCACAGCCUUGAGACAAGGUCUCUCUGUCACCCAGGCUAGAGUGCAGCAAUGCAAUCAUGACUCCCCGCAGCCUUGAGACAAGGUCUCUGUCACCCAGGCUAGAGUGCAGCGAUGCAAUCAUGACUCCCUGCAGCCUUGAGACGAGGUCUCUCUCUGUCACCCAGGCUGGAGUGCAGUGAUGCAAUCAUGGCUCCCUCUAGCCUUGAGACGAGGUCACUCUGUCACCCAGGCUAGAGUGCAGUGAUGCAAUCACAGCUCCCCGCAGCCU